UAGGGAAUCUUCGGCAAUGGGGGGAACCCUGACCGAGCAACGCCGCGUGAGUGAAGAAGGUUUUCGGAUCGUAAAACUCUGUUGUUAGAGAAGAACAGCGCAUAGAGUAACUGUUAUGCGUGUGACGGUAUCUAACCAGAAAGCCACGGCUAACUACGUGCCAGCAGCCGCGGUAAUACGUAGGUGGCAAGCGUUGUCCGGAUUUAUUGGGCGUAAAGCGCGCGUAGGCGGUUUUUUAAGUCUGAUGUGAAAGCCCACGGCUCAACCGUGGAGGGUCAUUGGAAACUGGAAAACUUGAGUGCAGAAGAGGAAAGUGGAAUUCCAUGUGUAGCGGUGAAAUGCGCAGAGAUAUGGAGGAACACCAGUGGCGAAGGCGACUUUCUGGUCUGUAACCGACGCUGAUGUGCGAAAGCGUGGGGAUCAAACAGG
rnacentral:rRNA from 1 species